GGAGAGAGACCCAGGGGAAAGCUGGGGAAGUGGGGCUGAUGAACAGCAAAAAUCUGCCAAAAAAGUUCGAGAGAGCCGGGCGCGGUGGCUCACGCCUGUAAUACCAGCACUUUGGAAGGCCCAGGCGGGCGGAUCACAAGGUCAGGAGAUCCAGACCAUCCUGGCUAACACGGUGCAACCCCAUCUCUGCUAAAAAUACAAAAAAUUAGCCGGGCGUGGUGGCGGGCGCCUGUAGUCCCAACUACUCCGGAGGCUGAGUCGAGGAGAAUGGCGUGGACCGGGGAGGCGGAGCUUGCAGUGAGUCCAGAUCAGGCCACUGCCCUCCAGCCUGGGCAACAGAGCGAGACUCCGUCUCAAAAAAAAAAAAAAAACCUUGAGAGCCCUCCACCACCUGUUCCUGGGCCAAACGGAGGUUCGGACUGCUAUUUCUUGUGGUCCAGUAAGGAGAUGCAGAUGAACUGGAGAAGAAGCGAGUUUUUAUUUCUGCAACCGGUUACAGGGAGAAGGCCUGGAAAUUAUCACCAAACCAACUCAAAAUUACAAAGCUUUCCAGUGCUUAUAUACCUUCUAAGCUAUAUGUCUAUAUAACCUAAGAAUGAAGUAGUGACUCGCUCGGCUCUGGGCUUGUCCUUACCUGCCGCUGGGAGGCAGCUUCCACACCCUUUGGCAGGCCUGAAUCAUUUCGGGUAACAAGAUGACCUCUGAGGAAGCCAAAAACCCUCCUUGCUGUACAAUUCAGAACUUGGACCUCUUAGAGAUGACAUUAUGGGAAAGUGCUUGGCAUACAGCAGGUGCUCAUUAAAUGGUGGUUUCCAUUUUCUCAACUUAGAGGAGGGGCAUACACUCUUCAUUUGGUAACAUUUUCUCCCGUGAGAAACAUUCUCCCUGGCCAGGCGCAGUGGCUCGUACCUGUAAUCUCAGCACUGGGAGGCCGAGGCAGGUGGAUCACUUGACGUCUGGAGUUUGAGACCAGCCUCGCCAACAUGGCAAAAACCCCAUCUCUACUAAAAAUGCAAAAAUUAGCCAGGUGUGGUGGCCCACGCCUGUAAUCCCAGCUACUCGGGAGGCUGAGGCAGGAGAAUCGCUUGAACCCGGGAGGCAGAGGUUGCAGUGAG
rnacentral:lncRNA from 1 species